GCUUCAUACCAUUGGUUUGGGAUAGUGCCAGUUAUUAAUAUUUCGUUGAACAACUUAGUUAGAAUUGGACUUAUAUCUAUUAUUUUCCA